rnacentral:rRNA from 1 species
GAUGAACGCUGGCGGCGUGCCUAAUACAUGCAAGUCGAGCGAACAGACGAGGAGCUUGCUCCUCUGACGUUAGCGGCGGACGGGUGAGUAACACGUGGAUAACCUACCUAUAAGACUGGGAUAACUUCGGGAAACCGGAGCUAAUACCGGAUAAUAUAUUGAACCGCAUGGUUCAAUAGUGAAAGACGGUUUUGCUGUAACUUAUAGAGGUCUCCGCGCGGCAUUAGCUAGUUGGUAAGGUAACGGCUUACCAAGGCAACGAUGCGAAGCCGACUUGAGAGGGGGAUCGGCCACACUGGAACUGAGACACGCCCCAGACUCCUACGGGAGGCAGCAGUAGGGAAUCUUCCGCAAUGGGCGAAAGCUUGACGGAGCAACGCCGCGGGAUUGAGGAAGUUCUUCGGAUCUAAAAACUCUGUUAUUAGGGAAGAACAAAUGGGUAAGUAACUAUGCACGUCUUGACGGUACCUAAUCAGAAAGCCACGGCUAACUACGUG